UCCUGGUGGGGCGAGAGCGCGCUGCACCACGAAUGCCGGACGGGGGCACGGCACGCGCGCGAGACAGGGUUGGGCUGCACGCCCGCGGGUUCACGAAGCUCCUGCCAGGACUUCCUAAUCUUUGCGUUGACACUCCUUUGCAGCUGCGUGGAAAUUAAUGGACCCUCCCCAUUAAUCUCUAAAAGCUGGCUUGCAGUCACGCCAUCCCUAAGGAUGCUUGGGCUCCAGAAAAACUGAUCACUGAGGCCUACAGCAUUGUCUCCUGCAUGCUAAGAGGACCCAACUCCUACUUUGCUUCUCCACCCUCUAAUGGAAACAUCCCCCAAAGAAACU